GCUAAGAAUCUAGCCCCCCCCCCCCAUUUUUUAUAAACUACUCCCAUUUCCGCCCACCCAUUAAAACAUUCUUAUAAUGUAGUAAAGGCGAUUGAAAAAUUUUUAGGAGCUAUAUAAAUAGUACCGCAAGGGAAAGAUGAAAUAAAAAUGAAACAAAUUUUAAGCACCAAAAAGUAGAGAUUAAUUCUCGUACCUUUUGCAUCAUGGUUUAACUAGUCCAAUCAAGCAAGAAGCAUUGUAGUUUGACCUCCCGAAACUAAGCGAGCUACUUCAGGGCAGCUUACUGAGCCAACCCGUCUCUGUUGCAAAAGAGUGGGAAGACCCUAAAGUAGCGGUGAUAGACCUAACGAGCUUAGUGAUAGCUGGUUACUCGAGAAAAGGAUUUUAGUCCCGCUUAAAGAUUAUUUAAUAUUUAUAGAUAAUUAUACUUCUUUAGAGUAAUUCGAAUAAGGUACAGCCUAUUUGAAACAGGAUACAACCUCGCCAGAAGGGUAACUCCCCAAUAAACAACUAAGUAGGCCCGAAAGCAGCCACCUUUAAGAUAGCGUCAAAGCUCCAUUGUGUUUUUUACUAAUACCCCUUAUUUUAUAAAACCCUCCUCCACUAUCGAGUACUUCUAUAUAGUUAUAGAAAUUAUUAUGUUAAAACAAGUAACAAGAAGAAGACCUUCUCUUAAAUGCAAGUAUAAAUCAAAAAGGACCAACCAGUGAUAAUCAACGCCUCUGAAUUUAAAGUAAUAACCCCACAAGAAAAAUUUACUCCUUUCAGCGUUAAUCUUACACAAGAGCAUUUCAAGAAAGAUUAAAAGAAAAAGAAGGAACUCGGCAAACAUUAACCUCGCCUGUUUACCAAAAACAUCGCCUCUUGACCAAAUAUAAGAGGUAUAGCCUGCCCAGUGACUCUGUUCAACGGCCGCGGUAUCCUAACCGUGCGAAGGUAGCGUAAUCACUUGUUCUUUAAAUGAGGACUAGUAUGAAUGGCACCACGAGGGUUAUACUGUCUCCUUUUUCUAAUCAGUUAAACUAAUCUCCCCGUGAAGAAGCGGGAAUGAAAUUAUAAGACGAGAAGACCCUAUGGAGCUUUAAACUAAAUUACACCUGCUUAUAAACACUUAUCUUUCAGAAUACUAACAUUUAUACUAGCAUCAUGAUUUUUAGUUUUAGGUUGGGGUGACCGCGGAGCAAAAUAAAACCUCCAUAUUGAACGGGAUAAUUUUCCUGAGCUCUGAGCCACAACUCUACGCACCAAUAAAUUGACAUUAAUUGACCCAAUAUUUUGAUCAACGAACCAAGUUACCCUAGGGAUAACAGCGCAAUCCACUUUAAGAGCCCCUAUCGACAAGUGGGUUUACGACCUCGAUGUUGGAUCAGGGUAUCCCAGUGGUGCAGCCGCUACUAAAGGUUCGUUUGUUCAACGAUUAAAACCCU
rnacentral:rRNA from 1 species